UCAGAAGGCCAAGGGGACAGAACUCUGGU
rnacentral:piRNA from 1 species